rnacentral:rRNA from 1 species
UGGGGAAUAUUGCGCAAUGGGCGAAAGCCUGACGCAGCAACGCCGCGUGAGUGAUGAAGGCCUUCGGGUCGUAAAGCUCUUUUACCAGGGACGAUAAUGACGGUACCUGGAGAAUAAGCCCCGGCAAACUUCGUGCCAGCAGCCGCGGUAAUACGAAGGGGGCUAGCGUUGUUCGGAAUUACUGGGCGUAAAGCGCACGUAGGCGGAUUGUUAAGUCAGAGGUGAAAGCCUGGAGCUCAACUCCAGAACUGCCUUUGAAACUAGGUCGCUAGAAUCACGGAGAGGUGAGUGGAAUUCCGAGUGUAGAGGUGAAAUUCGUAGAUAUUCGGAAGAACACCAGUGGCGAAGGCGGCUCACUGGACGUGUAUUGACGCUGAGGUACGAAAGCGUGGGGAGCAAACAGGAUUAGAUACCCUGGUAGUCCCUGAGCGGGCUGGCAAGGCGCAU